GACCCUUCCCAGAGAUUUUGCAGACGCUUUAUGCACUCAAUGUCUUCUUUUUCUCUUGUUCUUAGAAACAAAUAUUACCCCUGUUUUCACAGAUAACACAGCUGUCAUAAUAUUGUGAGAGAAGUUUGAGGAGAUGCAAAGCUGUAGUCAGGGUGAUGACAGGGGUCCAGCAGUGGUGUCAUCUGGCCAGCCCUGAAUCGUAGGAUGAAUGACUCAGCUAAUCUAGACCCUGUCUCCACUUUUAGUCUCUUGAGGGCUAUGAACUUGGGCAUACAGCAUUUUCAUAAGACCAAGUUAAAUACCCCAUAUAUCCAGGGCUCUUUUCCCCCCACAAAUAUCCAGAACCUUCAGGAAAAUCCAGGGAGAUGAGAAUCUUUUUAGGUGAUUACCUGCGUGCACUGAGAGCGAUCCCACAUAGCAGUUCCGUAUGGACCUCACACUCCCUGCUCAGGCUGUGGCCUGAAUGACCUCCAACUGCAUCUCCCUGACCCCAACACCGUCCCCUCUGCACCUCCUCAAACUCUGCUUACUGUGCUCAACUUCCCUUCUAUUCCUGUAUGAUUCAAGGCUCCCCCGGUUUUGCCCUGGAUCCUCACUGGUGAUCACAAGUAAUGAAUGUCCCUCUUUCACACAGGACACCUGAUGCUCUAAAAGUUAGGGGUGCACUUCAUUCAUUACAGACCCCAACACAUUGUGUCUCCAACAUACCCACCAGUACUGCUGAUACGUCUACUUUUGAGUAAAAACUCCUCUUUCAUUUGACAAGAGAAACGUAUAGCGCACUGUAUUACAGGGACAUGCCACUGCCCAUUGUAUGUAUGUCCUGAGAAACUUGAGAUAUGCUACAGUGUCCUCAGGCAGUUUGUAGUUGGAUUGCCAGGACUCACAACUGUCUCUACAUCAUUGCCACAAAGUCAAUCAUGAAGAAGAUGAAUAUACUUUACCAGCCACUCAGCCAGUUCAGGUCCUCUUAACAAAUAGAGUAGAUGGAGGAGGGGGAUGUGGCCUAUAGCCCAUGACUGGUGGUGAAGGGUGGUCCGCGGGGUACAGCCUGCAAGGCAAUCCUGGGAAAGGACCAGGACUCUUGCAUACAAAAUAGCCUGCGGAGAAGAAAUGAGAGGUAUGUUCAUAGGACAGAAUAGAGCACCAACACCAGCAAAAAGCGGAAACCCAAAGCAGCAGUGCUCAUAUCCUACUAGCUUCCCCACCACCAGGUUCCAAGAGGGCAACAGCAGCGCCAAAAUCUCUACCCAUACUUUGGGUUGGGGAAUGGAUGUGAUUGGGAUAAACUAGUGUCCCCACAUGUCUGGAAACGUGGAAACAGCAAGGGCCCUUUUCCUAGAAGAUCUAUAGGCUGAAUACUAAAUUAACAAAGUAGCAUAUUCUAGAUAGGAAAGCAACUAUGUCCAGGAUCACACUCCACCCUUCAUCCCCUCCACCACAGAGGCUGUUUAUUGUGUCUGUGAAGAACUACAGAAUGAGAAGGAAUGACAAUCCCAGUGUCCACACAUGGAAUCAUACCCUCGUGGCUCAGAGCUCUGCCUCUAAGCCCCUGCCCAAACUACUUCUGUCCCGACAAUGGGGUCUCCUCCUCUCUGGAAGUGCUAUCCAUGGACACAAAGACACAUGGGGAGAUGGGGAUCCUGAGGGCCUGCAGAGGACCUGGGAAAGCGUGCUCUUAGAGAAACAGGUAACCGAUACAUGUUAGUUGGGUUCAGCUAAUUUAUUUUAGUUCGGAGGUACUUCUCAGCUUAAGUGCAGUACACUUUGGAGGGUAAGUGUGUCCUCUGGAAAAAUGAGCUGAAAUUCUAAAAGACAAAAUUAGCACAAAUGCACUUUGAUGUCUGGUGUAAGUUUCCAUGUUUUAGCUGUACCUGUGACACGGGACACGAGAGAACGUGCUCAUGUGAACACAAGUGAAGGACACCGUGGGGACUUGCCACACAGAUGCCAGCACGUGGACUGUGUACAGGGCAUUUUUGCUGAAGCGCUAUGUCUGAUUUUCGGCAUACGGCCCCAUUCCUUCUCUACAAGAGACGCCUGUACCAACCCAUGGUGGGGGAAAAGACGAAGAUGAGAUCCUGAGAAACUUGAGGAAUGUGGGAAUGGCAGCGGACACAUUCCCCUUGCAUCACAAUGGUCUGUGGUACCGCCUCUGCACCUUGGCCCAAGACCUAACAGUAACAACAUAAGGUUCAUCUCCUAGCCAGAAUCAAGAAAGGAAGACACAGCAGCCACACUGUUCCCACAGAGGUGAGGUCUGGAAGGGAUCACCCAGGCCGGGAGACAUCUGUUUGGAGUGUGCAGUCAUCCUCCUCUCAUUAUUUCCUGAAACUCACAGAAAAACCUUAAGGCAGCCUCUUUGGUUCCAUCCCGUCCAGUCUUGGAUACAGAAAAAUAAUGGACUUCUAGAAGAGUUGCAACACCACGUCCUCUACUAGACGACUAACAGUGCAGGCGUCAUCCCUGGAAACACCCAUAAAAACGCAAG